GCCCUUCUUUCAAAACCAGCCUUUCUCUGAUGUCCUUUAGGGAGAUGUCAAAACUAAAGAAUCUGUAUUCAUAUAAUUUACUGCUCAAAGCUGGGCAUGGUGACACAUGCUUUUGAUUCCAGCAGAGGCAGGCAGAUCUCUAAGUUCAAGGCCAGCCUGGUCUACAGAGCAAGUUGCAAGACAGCCAGGGCUACGUAGAGACCUUGUCUUGAAAAACAACAACGUGGAAUUUACUGCUUGGACAUGAGAUCUGUGAUCAGAUUGCAGCUUGACUUAGCAUCUCAUAGCUUUUCUAGAGUGUGUCCUAGGAAAGGAAGGGGGAGAAUUUCAACUCCAUCAACUUUGCAAUCUUUGCUGAGGCUUCUGGGAAGUACUGGCCAAGAAAGAGCUCAUGAGAAUCCUAUAGUUGGAGCACUAGGAAGUAGGCUGAGGGUGUUGGCUCCAGAGGUAGUUGCUCCUCUACAGCUUAGCACCACAGCACACCCGCACUGCCUGUCUUGGAAAUUUCCCAAAGAUCCCAUCUCUUCUAGGACAGUAUUGCAAAGCGAGCUUCCUUUUCAUCCCUGCAGCUUCCCAAGGUGGCACUCCUGUGACAGCAACCCUGUGACAGGGCCCAAAGUGUCUAAUAGCAUACUUCAACUAGAUAUGUUACAUGGUAUCUGCUGUCCCUUCAGGCUAUAAGCAUCCUAAAGCUAUAUUUUUAGUUUUCAUUCUACAUUCCACAAUUCCAAAAGCUGAAGUCAUCUGCAGGUCAAACCAAUGCCUGGGGAACAGUGUUUUUUUGUGCUAUGAAAAAUCACUAGCAAAACCCAGGUACCUAGAUUUUGCUCCUAUGAUAUCUUCUAGAAGCUUCAUAUUUGCACAUUUUAUAUUAAGACCUAUGAUACAUCUUCAGUUUUAUAAACAACAUAAGGACUGUGUCUGAAUUCAUUAUUUGCAUGUGAAUGUCCAAAUGGUCUAGUACAAAUCAUUCAAAUGACUGCCUAUUCUUUUCCUAGUCAGUGACCUUUUCUCCUUUGUCAAAGUUCAGCUGGGUGGGUUUGUAUGAAUCUAGGUUUCUAUUCAUUCUUUAUUCAUCUGUGCUUUACCAGUACCAACUUGUCCUGAUCAUUUU